rnacentral:lncRNA from 1 species
GGUGACGAUAUAUCAGAGUGGAAUAACACGUGGUUGAAGCGAUUUCUGGUGGAUUAUAUGCUGCGAAUGUCACACUAUGACACUCUCACAAAGCUUGCUGAAAGCAGUAACUUACAGGAUCAUGUUGAUAUUGAGAUCUGUUUAUGAAGCCAAUAGUUAUUGAUGCUCUGCAUAAUAAGGAGGUAGCCCCUGCUCUAGCCUGGUAUGCUGAUAACAAGUCUAGGUUAAAGAAAUUC